rnacentral:snRNA from 1 species
ACACUUAUCUGGUGCCAGGGUCUCGUUGAUCACCAAGGACGAGCUCCCAGGGUGCGGCGCGGGCAUUGCACUGCGCUUGCGUUGACCCCUGCCACGACCCCAAACUGGGGCAGAUUGGGCAUGCAAAUUGUAUAAAUC